rnacentral:lncRNA from 1 species
AACUGAGCUAAGUUAACUGGUCUGUCCUUCUGACCGGUGUGCAUUACUCUAGGACUAUGUGUUUGGCUUCUAUUCUAGACUUUCUGCAAUGCUCACUGUCUUUCAGGGAGGAUCUCAUUCUCUCUGUUGACAUAUAACCAGAAUAAGAACCAAGCCAUUUCCUUGGUCAGUCUUUCAAAGUGUUCCUCUACUCAACAUAUAAAAAUAUUCCUACUUAUAGAUGUGUGGGAGAUUAGAAAUACAAAGAUAAAUAAUAUAUAAUACCAUGAAUAAAAGCCAACCAAACCAUUACAAUACAGUAUAAUAAGUACUAAAAUAGGACAACAAGCCUAUAAUCAAUCAUUCUAGUCCAGUGUGAACCUUAUAGUUGUUUCUACUAGGAACGGAGUUUCUGCAUUUAAGACUCAUUUAGAAGUGUUGUCUAACACUUUUUAUGGACAUUGUUGCUAGAUAGAAAACAUUUGAGCUCCAGAUUUCCAAAUAUUGUCUGCCUGGAUUCUCUCUCUCUCUCUCUCUCCCUCUCUCUUCAACACCACACCUGUGGUAUAUGGAAUUUCCCAGGCUAGGGAUCAAAUCCAAGCCCCAGCCUUGACCUACAGGAUAGCUGUAGCAAUGACGGAUCCUUUACACAACUGCUUGGGGCAGGCAUUCAACUUGCAACUCCACAGCGACUGAGCCACUGCAGUCAGACACUUAACCCACAGAUCCAGGGCUGGAACUCCUGCCUAUAUUCUCUAUUUGCAUAUUCCACCCACAUAGUUGAGCAACAGCUACUUAAAUGCAUUUUAUUCUAUGUUAUCUACCUAAACUGGAUAAUGAAUUACUUGCUUCUUUGAAUACUAUGACUUGCGCAGAAGGCUGAAAUUCAGCAAUUAGCCCUUUGCUUUUUUAAGCUAGUAAACUGGUCCAGUUUUGUCAAGCCCUCCUGCUCCCUUCCCUGACUCAUGCUAAUACAAAACACUUAUGAUGAACCUAACUAUUUAAAAAAUUUCAUCUAGAGCGUUAAGAAAACUUACAGGGAAGGGAAUUAGCAUUAAAUGAAGUGUAUCGAACACUGCUAUCUUCUUUAAAUUUGUUAUUUCUUUUAUAACUCACUAUGACACGAAGUUUAUUACUGAUGUACAGUUGAAGGAAUGCUGAGAAAUAAAUUAAUAUGUCCACUGUUAAUGAUCGAGUAAAGGAAAUACACCAGAAUUAAUUCAAGCCUAACUCAGAAAAUCUUUCAAAACUAUUUUGCUGAGAUAUGAUAAAAGGAGAGGCAACCUCUUCUAUUCGAGAAACAAGAGAUUGUUUCACAGAAGAGAACAAGGUAUUCCAGGCAGAGAGAAAGAGUGGAAAACAUAGGGCAUGAAUGAGCUGUUUGUUUUAUGGUUUAUACACUAAUCUAGCCCAUAAAACAUAAGGUACAUGGAAGGAAAUUUAAUGAAACCGUUUAUUUUUUAAUGUUGUAUCCAAUUAUUUCCUCCUCUUUCUCCUCUUCCUUUUUGCUCUCCACAUACUGCCAUCUUUAAAGUACCUACUUCAAGUAUUCUUUGGAAACUCCUCUGGUCAGUGAAAGUGACCCCCUUUGGGGAAAUCUCAAGGACACACCUGUCCUGAGCUCUAGAAUCACCACCCGCCACUCCUUUCUGGAAGUAUGUCUUCAUUGGCUUCCAUUUGACUUCCGUGGGGCUACAUCCUCCUGUUCUAAACACACUGCUUUUCAUCAUUCUCAGUUUUGCUUCUUGUCUUCUUUUUUCCUUUGCUUUUCUUCUAUUACUCUUUUGCUUUUCCUCUCAUUUCUUCCUCCCUGCCUUCCUGUUUUCCUUCCUUCCUCCCUCCUUCAUCUUUUUCACUCCCCCUCCUCUGCCGUUCUGAGGUGUUUCUCGUGGAUUGAAUCUCCAACCUCUCUCUCUUUUUCUUUUCAUUCUACAAAUUGUCCUAGGAUUCUCCUCCAUUCCUUCUGUGGCUAGCACACACACGUGCACACACACACACAGGUGCAGAUUGUAUACUUCUGUUUUCUUCUGUGGAUAUCCCUAUUCAGGGCUUAGAGUCAUAUGCUUUACCAAAUAACUAGAAUUAAAGAGUGCACAGACAAAACACAAGUCCCAAAUUGAAUUCAUCUAUCGCUCAGAAAUCUUGUCAUCUUCUCUUCCUUUCCUUUUUCUUUUUCUUUUUCUUUUUCUUUUUUUUUUUUUUUUUUUUUUUUUGUCUUUUUGCCAUUUCUUGGGCCACUCCCAUGGCAUAUGGAGGUUCCCAGGCUAGGGGUUGAAUUGGAGCUGUAGCCGCCAGCCUAUGCCAGAGCCACAGUAACACAGGAUCGGAGCCACAUCUGCAACCUACACCACAGCUCACCACAACGCCAGAUCCUUAACCCACUGAGCAAGCCCAGGGAUCGAACCUGCAACCUCAUCGUUCCUAGUCGGAUUCGUUAACCACUGAGGCACAACGGGAAUGCCUCUCUUUCUUUCCUUAUUGAAUGACACCUCUAGCCUUCAGAGUUGAAGCUCAGAACCUGGUUAUAAUUUUUUUAGUUCUUUCUACUCUAGCUCAGAUAUCCCUUUCUUGAGCAAGAAUUCCUGAUACCACGCUUUGCAGUCUUAAUUAAUCAGCCCCAAAUUACGGUCAAUUGAAUCUGUAAUUCCUCAAAAUUACUGUUUUUGUUACAUGAUGUAUAAUUACAUAUUUAAUCAUGUAUCCAUGUUCUACACUAUAAGCUUAAUAAGAAAAAAAAUAUCAUGAUAAGAUCUCUAAUCUUAGGCUAUACCCAGCUCAUGGUAUAGAAUCAAUACUUAAUGAGAGUUAUACAGAAUUUCAUAUGUUCAGGAAUUUUAGAAUUUUCUACAUCCUAAAGGAUGAACUAGAUAAUUUGCAUUUUGAAGGUGGUUAGAGGGAGUUUUGGGCUCAGGUAAUGGUUAUCAUAAACAUAAGAUGACAAAAAAGUGGUAAUCAUGUAUAAACUAAAAACAAGAGGAAAAUAGUAAUGGCCACCAAAAUUUCAAAAGAAUUGUACAAGCCUCAUGGAACUUAAUUUCAAUAAGGUAUUAAUAAAACCUUAUUUGGCAACUUUAUUUGAAAGAUUAAGAUUAUUGUGUUGAAGAAGAAAAAAUAAAAUACCACCACUUCCGCUAUUACAAAUACCUUUUUUUUUUUUUUUUUUUUUUUUUUUGUCUUUUUGCCUUUUCUAGGGCCGCUCCCAUGGCAUAUGGAGAUUCACAGGCUAGGGGUCUAAUCUGAGCUGUAGCCACAGGCCGACGUCAGAGUCACAGCAACGUGGGGUCCAAGCUACGUCUGCAACCUACACCACAGCUCAUGGCAAGGCUGGAUCCUUAACCCACAGAGCAAUUCCAGGGAUCUAACCCGCAACCUCAUUGUUAUUAGUCAGAUUCGUUUACCAUGGCCCACAACAGGAACUCCCGCUAUUACAAAUACCUUAAAGAGUUACUAUUGUUUACAAAUUAGCUGAAACUCCUGGCUUUCCCCUAAUUCUUCUCUAACUUUUCACACAAUUAAAAUUGGACUGCACAAGUUUCAUUGAACUUUUAGAGUUUGUCACUACUCACACCUUAUUCCAAUCUAUCAUCAUCUUUAGCCUAUAAAAUCUAUAUUAGGUAUUAUCAGUCACUUACAAUUAUCUGGUUGAUUUCCUACUCUCUUACUUCCAUUAAAGUGCAUUUCUCAUACAGGAGGUAUAGUUUGUUUUUGUUUUUUGUUUUUAACAUAUGUCACCUCAUGUCUCUUCCUUACAUUCUACUAAAAACAAACAAACAAACAAAAACACACCUAGGCGUUCCCAUUGUGGCUCAGUGGGUUAAGGAAGGACCCAACAUAAUAACUAUGAGGAUGCAGGUUCAAUCCCUGGCCUUGUGCAAUAUAUUAAGGAUCCAUCUUUGUUGCAAAUGGGGGCAUAGGUCACAGAUGCAGUUUGGAUCCACUGUUGCUGUGGCUCUGGUGUAGGCUGCAGCUGCAGCUCCAAUUCAACUCUAGCCUGGGAACUUCCACAUGCCACAAUGCCAAUGCAAAAAGAAAAUAAUAAUAAUAAUAAUAAAAAACCACCUAAAUUAUUCACUGUUGUUCAUUUGUUCUCCCACCACUAGAUAUAUACAACUUCAAGGUCAGAUGCUAUGCCUUCCCUUAUUUUCACCAACGUUAAUUAUUGUAGCACUUUUAGUAUUCUUGCUGUUCUUUGAACAUAUGAAGCUCAUUCUCAUUUUAUUUUUUUAUUACUUAAUGAAUUUUAUUACAUUUAUAGGUGUACAACAAUCAUCACAACCAAAUACCUUUAAUACCUUAAUACCUUUAUACUUGAUGCUUCUUUCCCCCCAAAUUCUGUUCCCCAGAUUUCCUUAUGUGAUGCUUUAACAUUCAUCCCUAUGGAGUGGCCGUUUUCUGCCUACCAACACUAUGUUACCAAUGCUUAACCUUUAUACUGCUAAGUCUUUUAUAAACUAUAUUAAUAUUGAAGACUUAUUGUUCAUUCAUUCAUUCAUUCAUUAAUAUUAUGUCUUCUCCUACUUGAAUGUUAGCUUAUUGAAUGCAAGGCCCAACUUGUUCAUACAUGUAUUCUUUGUGCUAACAUAGCUGCCCUUAGUAUAAGUGCUCAAUAUAUUUACUGAAUGAAUACAUUCAUAUAGUUGACAAUGUAUGUGCUGUGCUUUUUCUGCCACUUAACCUUUUCUAAAUCUACCCAUUCUUCAAGAGUAUAUUGAAUGCCAUUACUUUCAUAAUCUUUAUCUGAUUUGCAAACUGUCAUGAUACCUUCUUCCUUUGAACCACUGUAGAAGUCUCUCAUGAUGCUCUUUCUGACUCUAUUCAAAGCUUUUUUCUAAUUCCUCUCUCUAAUUACUUGAUAGUGAUCAGUUCAGAGAAAACAACUCAGUUAUACAAGUUUAAUAUUCAGACUGUAAUGUGAAUUUCUGACUCAGAGGAAACACAUAGUCUAGAAACACAUAUUUACUUAUGUAUUUGUUGUCUAACUCUAAAGGAGAAUUUGGCCUUCUAUUUUGUUCUUUGCUCUAUCUUCGUCUGCUCAAUAGGAACUGGCAAGUAAGAGAAGCCCAACAAACACCUGCUGAAAAGUCUGUAUAUGUUCUUCCUGAAUUCAACAUUUUCUAAAAUAUCAUUUUACCUUGUCAGUCAAAAUAUUAACAUCACCAUCAUCUAAUAACUUUAUUCCAAGCCUGCUAUAUUUUGUUAUAAUCAUUUAAAAUGCUUAUUCGAUCAAGCAGUAUUUUAAGAUUACUAGAAUUUUAAUUUAUGCUUAGUUAUUUUUCCAACAAAUGGUUAAUUUAUUGUUUUAUGAGUGGUUUAGGCAUAGAAAUGAUAUAUCAGCUUCUAAAUAGUGUGGACAGAAAAUGUAUUAUCUUUUUUUUUAUUUUUUUAUUUUUAUUUUUUUGUUUUGUUUUUUUUUAAUCUUUUUUUUUUUUUUUUUUUCCCACUGUACAGCAAGGGGGUCAGGUUAUCCUUACAUGUAUACAUUACAAUUACAUUUUUCCCCCACCCUUUCUUCUGUUGCAACAUGAGUAUCUAGACAAAGUUCUCAAUGCCAUUCAGCAGGAUCUCCUUGUAAAUCUAUUCUAAGUUGCGUCUGAUAAGCCCAAGCCCCCUCCCCCUCCCAUCAGGCAGCCAUAAGUCUCUUCUCCAAGUCCAUGAUUUUCUUUUCUGAGGAGAUGUUCAUUUGUGCUGGAUAUUAGAUUCCAGUUAUAAGUGAUAUCAUAUGGUAUUUGUCUUUGUCUUUCUGGCUCAUUUCACUCAGUAUGAGAGUCUCUAGUUCCAUCCAUGUUGCUGCAAAUGGCAUUAUGUCAUUCUUUUUUAUGGCUGAGUAGUAUUCCAUUGUGUAUAGAUACCACUUCUUCCCAAUCCAAUCAUCUGUCGAUGGACAUUUGGGUUGUUUCCAUGUCCUGGCUAUUGUGAAUGUAUUAUCUGAUGUUAAGCUCUAUAACUUUGAUUCAUAAAUAUCAGCUUCCUGACAUGAAAUUUGAUGUCUUAACCUUACUCUCUAAACUAUUUUAUUGAUUCUUAGCCUCUGCUUAUCUUCAGUAAAAGUAGGAGAUGGGUGUAACCCAGGAUAACUUAAGCAUACUUAAGGAAUUCCCAUUGUGGCUCAGCGGAAACAAAUGUUACUAGAAUCCAUGAGGAUAUAGGUUUGAUCCCUAGCCUUGCUCAGUGGGUUGGGGAGCUGGCAUCACUAUGAGCUAUGGUGUAAAUCAUAAAUGUGGCUCUUCUAUGGCUGUGGCAUAGGCCGGAACCUGUAGAUCCAAUUCGACCCCUAGCCUGGGAACUUUCAUAUGCCACAGGUGUGGCCCUAAAAAG